rnacentral:rRNA from 1 species
CUACGGGCCGCUGCAGUAAGGAAUAUUGCGCAAUGGAGGCAACUCUGACGCAGCCAUGCCGCGUGCAGGAAGAAGGCCUUAUGGGUCGUAAACUGCUUUUAUUUAGGAAUAAACCCCCGAACGUGUUCGGGGCUGAAGGUACUAAACGAAUAAGCACCGGCUAACUCCGUGGCCAGCAGCCGCGGUAAUACGGAGGGUGCAAGCGUUAUCCGGAUUUAUUGGGUUUAAAGGGUGCGCAGGCGGGCUAUUAAGUCAGUGGUGAAAUCCCGGGGCUCAACUCCGGAACUGCCAUUGAUACUGAUAGUCUUGAGUUUGGUUGAAGUGGGCGGAAUGUAGCAUGUAGCGGUGAAAUGCAUAGAUAUGCUACAGAACACCAAUCGCGAAGGCAGCUCACUAAGCCAAAACUGACGCUCAUGCACGAAAGCGUGGGGAUCAAGCAGGAUUAGAUACCCUAGUAGUC